AUCAAAUUCAUGAGGUAGAAUGUUGGAUGACUAAGGUAAAGGUAACAUAUCAGAGCUGUUCAAUUUUCUGCCUUUAAAAUUUGAU
rnacentral:pre_miRNA from 1 species